UUUGUCAUGAAGGUGGAUAAAGUGGUCAAAUCAAGAAAAUAUAUAUUGCUGCAUUUUUGUUGAAUUUCAAAUUUUGUUGUUGUUUAUUUACUGAUUUUGAAUAUACCAUUGUACUCAUGAGAUCGAGUAGAUAAACUUUCAUUAUUUAUUUGCUUAAUUCCGUAAAAAAUUGAGAAAGUUAUGGUGUUUUUACGUUUUCGUUAGAACCUAUUUUCUUUCAUUUUUGUUGCUACGAGAAUAGUAAACAAAUAUAGGGUUAGAGAAGAUGAAGUUUCUCUCACACCUCCUAAUUGCUUAAUGCACCAUUGUGGGACUCCCUUAUUUGAACUUAGAGCAUUU
rnacentral:lncRNA from 1 species